rnacentral:tRNA from 2 species
UCUCUGUUAGUAUAUCGGUUAGUACACGCGCCUGUCACUGGAUGGCCGCGCGAAAGCGGGGUUCGACUCCCCGACAGAGAG